rnacentral:rRNA from 1 species
UACGUAGGGUGCAAGCGUUGUCCGGAAUUAUUGGGCGUAAAGAGCUUGUAGGCGGUUUGUCGCGUCUGCUGUGAAAUUUCGGGGCUCAACCCCGAACUUGCAGUGGGUACGGGCAGACUAGAGUGUGGUAGGGGAGACUGGAAUUCCUGGUGUAGCGGUGAAAUGCGCAGAUAUCAGGAGGAACACCGACGGCGAAGGCAGGUCUCUGGGCCACUACUGACGCUGAGAAGCGAAAGCAUGGGGAGCGAACAGG